AACUAUGUCCUUAAUCCGAGGAGAGAUGUCUACUAUAAAUGAGAGGUUGGAUCGAAUGGAGAGUCGAAGGAACUCUAGUGUUUCUACCCCUCGACUCCAUGUUUCCUCAAGUGGUCAUGACCAAAACCCUUCCAUCACCAUUGCCCCCGAGACUUUACCUACAAACAUCAACCUCCAAGUUCACCACAAAAUUCCAUGAUCCAAGUUACUAAUUACCCUCAAAAUCGAGAACAAGGUAAAUCACUUGUCCCGAAAGUUGAUCAAGUUCUACAAAAAAGACUUUGAGGCACAUUACCUCCCAUCCAAGAUCCACAACCG
rnacentral:lncRNA from 1 species